rnacentral:rRNA from 1 species
ACCAUGCACCGAAGCUGCGGCAGCGACGCUUAUGCGUUGUUGGGUAGGGGAGCGUUCUGUAAGCCUGUGAAGGUGUGCUGUGAGGUAUGCUGGAGGUAUCAGAAGUGCGAAUGCUGACAUAAGUAACGAUAAAGCGGGUGAAAAGCCCGCUCGCCGGAAGACCAAGGGUUCCUGUCCAACGUUAAUCGGGGCAGGGUGAGUCGACCCCUAAGGCGAGGCCGAAAGGCGUAGUCGAUGGGAAACAGGUUAAUAUUCCUGUACUUGGUGUUACUGCGAAGGGGGGACGGAGAAGGCUAUGUUGGCCGGGCGACGGUUGUCCCGGUUUAAGCGUGUAGGCUGGUUUUCCAGGCAAAUCCGGAAAAUCAAGGCCGAGGCGUGAUGACGAGGCACUACGGUGCUGAAGCAACAAAUGCCCUGCUUCCAGGAAAAGCCUCUAAGCAUCAGGUAACAUCAAAUCGUACCCCAAACCGACACAGGUGGUCAGGUAGAGAAUACCAAGGCGCUUGAGAGAACUCGGGUGAAGGAACUAGGCAAAAUGGUGCCGUAACUUCGGGAGAAGGCACGCUGAUACGUAGGUGAAGCGACUUGCUCGUGGAGCUGAAAUCAGUCGAAGAUACCAGCUGGCUGCAACUGUUUAUUAAAAACACAGCACUGUGCAAACACGAAAGUGGACGUAUACGGUGUGACGCCUGCCCGGUGCCGGAAGGUUAAUUGAUGGGGUUAGCGCAAGCGAAGCUCUUGAUCGAAGCCCCGGUAAACGGCGGCCGUAACUAUAACGGUCCUAAGGUAGCGAAAUUCCUUGUCGGGUAAGUUCCGACCUGCACGAAUGGCGUAAUGAUGGCCAGGCUGUCUCCACCCGAGACUCAGUGAAAUUGAACUCGCUGUGAAGAUGCAGUGUACCCGCGGCAAGACGGAAAGACCCCGUGAACCUUUACUAUAGCUUGACACUGAACAUUGAGCCUUGAUGUGUAGGAUAGGUGGGAGGCUUUGAAGUGUGGACGCCAGUCUGCAUGGAGCCGACCUUGAAAUACCACCCUUUAAUGUUUGAUGUUCUAACGUGGACCCGUGAUCCGGGUUGCGGACAGUGUCUGGUGGGUAGUUUGACUGGGGCGGUCUCCUCCUAAAGAGUAACGGAGGAGCACGAAGGUUGGCUAAUCCUGGUCGGACAUCAGGAGGUUAGUGCAAUGGCAUAAGCCAGCUUGACUGCGAGCGUGACGGCGCGAGCAGGUGCGAAAGCAGGUCAUAGUGAUCCGGUGGUUCUGAAUGGAAGGGCCAUCGCUCAACGGAUAAAAGGUACUCCGGGGAUAACAGGCUGAUACCGCCCAAGAGUUCAUAUCGACGGCGGUGUUUGGCACCUCGAUGUCGGCUCAUCACAUCCUGGGGCUGAAGUAGGUCCCAAGGGUAUGGCUGUUCGCCAUUUAAAGUGGUACGCGAGCUGGGUUUAGAACGUCGUGAGACAGUUCGGUCCCUAUCUGCCGUGGGCGCUGGAGAACUGAGGGGGGCUGCUCCUAGUACGAGAGGACCGGAGUGGACGCAUCACUGGUGUUCGGGUUGUCAUGCCAAUGGCACUGCCCGGUAGCUAAAUGCGGAAGAGAUAAGUGCUGAAAGCAUCUAAGCACGAAACUUGCCCCGAGAUGAGUUCUCCCUGACCCUUUAAGGGUCCUGAAGGAACGUUGAAGACGACGACGUUGAUAGGCCGGGUGUGUAAGCGCAGCGAUGCGUUGAGCUAACCGGUACUAAUGAACCGUGAGGCUUAACCUUACAACGCCGAAG